CCCGCUGAACUUAAGCAUAUCAAUAAGCGGAGGAAAAGAAACUAACAAGGAUUCCCCUAGUAACUGCGAGUGAAGCGGGAAAAGCUCAAAUUUUAAAUCUGGUGGCCCCGCCGCCCGAGUUGUAUUCUGGAGAAGCGUCUUCCGCGCCGGACCGUGUACAAGUGCCUUGGAACAGGACGUCACAGAGGGUGAGAAUCCCGUCUUUGACACGGACCCCCGGCGCUCUGCGAUGCGCUCUCGAAGAGUCGAGUUGUUUGGGAAUGCAGCUCAAAACGGGUGGUAAAUUCCAUCUAAAGCUAAAUAUUGGCGAGAGACCGAUAGCGAACAAGUACCGUGAGGGAAAGAUGAAAAGCACUUUGGAAAGAGAGUAAAACAGUACGUGAAAUUGUUGAAAGGGAAACGCUUGAUGUCAGUCACGUUGGCUAGGGAUCAACCUUGCUUCUCGCUGGGUGUAUUUCCUAGUGGACGGGUCAGCAUCAGUUUCGGUCGCUGUACAAGGGCAAAGGGAACGUGGCACUCCUUGGAGUGUGUUAUAGCCUUUCGUCGUAUGCAGUGGUUGGGACUCAGGAACUCGGCACGAAAUCUAUUUUGUGCUUAGGAUGCUGGCAUAAUGGCCUUAAGCGACCCGUCUUGAAACACGG
rnacentral:rRNA from 1 species